UACGUAGGGCGCAAGCGUUAUCCGGAAUUAUUGGGCGUAAAGAGCUCGUAGGCGGUUUGUCGCGUCUGCCGUGAAAGUCCGGGGCUCAACUCCGGAUCUGCGGUGGGUACGGGCAGACUAGAGUGAUGUAGGGGAGACUGGAAUUCCUGGUGUAGCGGUGAAAUGCGCAGAUAUCAGGAGGAACACCGGUGGCGAAGGCGGGUCUCUGGGCAGUAACUGACGCUGAGGAACGAAAGCGUGGGUAGCAAACAGG
rnacentral:rRNA from 1 species